rnacentral:lncRNA from 1 species
AAUGUAUAUAUUUGUAAUGCCUAAAUGAAUAUAUAUGUAUAUUCAAAUUUCUCUCUAUAUAUUCAUUUAGGGCUUAAAAUUUAUCCAAUUUGAGAGAUGAGCUUACUUAAGAUCUAUAAUAAACAAAAUUAAUAUGAAAAAGACUCGAUUUGGCUGCUAUUCAUGCUAUUUAUAUUGAAACUGUCUCAUAAAGUCUGACAAGUGUAUAACGGUUACUUCUGUUCACUGCCAGCCCGGCUGCUGAUCCC